GGGAUUGUAGCUCAGUGGUAGAGUGCUAGCCUGGGUGAGGCCUGGGUUCAAUUCCUUGUACUGCCA
rnacentral:tRNA from 1 species